rnacentral:lncRNA from 1 species
UUUUAUAGCGUCCGGUAGCGACACGGAGCCGGCUCCCCCUUUUCCAGCCUUCCUCCCCAUCUCCCAUUCUCCAUCCCCCACGACCUAUACCAGAGGUCCUUAGGCCUCCACGUCUCUCCUUUUGCCGAGUAGCCCAAGGUUUCCACCCAUCUGCCAGGGGGAUGGCGUCCACUCCGAUGGGGAAUGAGGGGGAGAAGAAGAGCAGCUGGCCAUCUCAAGCUGCACCCUCCUUGAGAGGAGGUCCGCAUUCUUCACCAAGACCUGAGGCACAGACACCUGGUGAGUGAGGCUUCAAGGGAGAUGCUCUUUGUCCUGGGAGAGAGAAACCGUACCUGCAGCAAGGCAUACCUCCUGCCAACUCCUGGUGAAAAGAACAUGCCUCAAAACUACUCUUUUGCCACUCGUUAACCACUUCCGUUUGUGGGGACCUCCUGGUCAUGAGCAGCAUCAUCCCGAAGCCUUCAAAGUGUUCUGGAUUCAUCACAGGACCCUCCAGCCUCAGCCAGCAAGGAUACCACCAGGAAUGAAA